rnacentral:rRNA from 1 species
AGUCGUUGGGGCUAUUGAAGCCUUAGUGACGCAGCUAACGCGAUAAGUUCUCCGCCUGGGGAGUACGGCCGCAAGGUUAAAACUCAAAUGAAUUGACGGGGGCCCGCACAACCGGUGGAGCAUGUGGUUUAAUUCGACGCAACGCGAAGAACCUUACCUGGUCUUGACAUCCUGCGAACUUGGUAGAGAUACCUUGGUGCCUUCGGGAGCGCAGUGACAGGUGCUGCAUGGCCGUCGUCAGCUCGUGUCGUGACAUGUUGGGUUAAGUCCCGUAACGAGCGCAACCCUUGUCCUUAGUUGCCAGCGGUCCGGCCGGGAACUCUAGGGAGACUGCCGGUGACAAACCGGAGGAAGGUGGGGAUGACGUCAGGUCAUCAUGGCCCUUACGGCCAGGGCUACACACGUGCUACAAUGGGGCGUACAGAGGGCAGCAAGCGCGCGAGUGCUAGCGAAUCCCUUAAAGCGUCUCGUAGUCCGGAUCGGAGUCUGCAACUCGACUCCGUGAAGUCGGAAUCGCUAGUAAUCGCGAAUCAGAAUGUUGCGGUGAAUACGUUCCCGGGCCUUGUACACACCACCCGUCACACCAUGGGAGUGGACUGCACCAGAAGCGGUUAGUCUAACCUUCGGGAGGACGAUCGCCACGGUGUGGUUCACGACUGGGGUGAAGUCGUAACAAGGUAACC